rnacentral:tRNA from 1 species
GGCUCCUUGGUCAAGCGGUUAAGACAUCGCCCUUUCACGGCGGUAACAGGGGUUCGAUUCCCCUAGGAGUCACCA